AAUAUGGGUAGGAGGAAACCUUCAUCAAACACUUGAACCACGUUAAAUACCCAAAUCGAUGCCAGCUGAAUGAACUCAAAAGGUCAAAAUCUGUCAUGUGUGAAGGCAUCUGAUUUUUAAGUACUUCUCUCUUCAGAUGAACAAUCAGGUGGAAAAGCUAGGGGAAAUCUCUAAUAUAUACCUUAAUAACUUAACAGAGAGAAUAUUCAGCACUGGUGCUGCUGCUGGCCAUCAGCCUGUUCCCAUCUGGGGUCUUCCUUUAAAAUAAUAACACAGAUCUAUGUAAUAAUUGGUUUCUCAUAUACCAUACUGAUCUCCUGAGCAAGCGUAAGAAUGUUUUGCAUCAUCAAACCUUGUCAAUUUUCCUCUCCCAUAAAAUGUGUCAGAAUUCCUUUGGCUUGGGCUGGAGCUAUGCUCAAAAAUCCAAGCCAGUCUUUAAAAUGUAAGGGAAACUGGUGCCUGCACAAACUGCACUGUGUUACUGUAUUCAUGGGAGGAGGAGGGAAUGUAGGGAAGGGAGCUUCAGCUGUGACUAAGGAGACCUGCAGGGAUAUGCCCGGCCCUGCCCUGUUGCAGACACAAAGCACACAUCUGGUGUUCUGUAUCAUUCAAACCAACUGGGUACUUCUUGGAUUUUCUGAACUGUCUCUGCAUGUGUUCAGCACACCUAAAAUCCAGCUCACACAUUCAAUCCCUCAACACAUUUCUCAUGACUUCCACCCUCAUAAUCCGGCUGGGUAGGUAUUAACCAAACAAUCCUUUACACUCAAGGAUAAGUUUACACAACAUAGCCCUGCAGUUAUCAGUAACACAGCUCCAGGGAGUUACCUGCUCACUGUCGCCUUUAAAGCUCUCUCUGCACAUUCACAUCACGACUCUCUCCUCAGAAGCACAUCCCCUGCUUUGAGAUUUUCUUCACAUUCCCUCUAGUUUGCUCCCAUUCUGUUAUAUACUCACUACCCUAGAGGGAGAGAUGUCAGCCACAUGAUUGUUAGUUUUUCUCUCAACAGUCAGGAGGUGAAAGGGAUGAAAAGUGGAGAACUGAUGGGCAAUACAAACUUCUGCUUUGAAACUCAAGGUGGGCAUGGAAAAACAAAGACUUUUGCACCAAGUACAGAGACCAAAAUUUUGGCUUGUCCAUCUCUGUUGAAGGAGCAGUGAUCUCAGCUGUCUACAGUGGUGCAGCUCUGAAGGGAGCAUGCAUGUUCUGCUGCCUGGGAGACCAUGAAAAAUUUCUUCAAACUGGAAAAGAAGAGAGAAGAGCUCUUUAUGUUUCUGGCAUUUUUCUCCAAUUGACUGCACGUAACCUCGAGCAGAACAAUCCAGCCAAGCAAAACACGAUGAGUUGAGGCUUCAGAUGUGCUGUUUGACUGUGAAUCCUCUGAGGACUCUCCACCCAUCCCCACGGCUGGAUAGCAGCAGAAGGACCUGGCCAUUUCUGCCUGGUUGCACUGAUUCAGAAAUUAUUGGAGUGCAAGCAGAAGUGAGACACAGACAUCUAGAGGGAAGAGCAGGCUGCAGCCAGUGCCAAGGGAAG